GAUGAACGCUGGCGGCGUGCUUAACACAUGCAAGUCGAACGGAAAGGCUCCUGCUUGCAGGGGUACUCGAGUGGCGAACGGGUGAGUAACACGUGGGCGAUCUGCCCUGCACUUCGGGAUAAGCCUGGGAAACUGGGUCUAAUACCGGAUAGGACGAUGGUUUGGAUGCCAUUGUGGAAAGUUUUUUCGGUGUGGGAUGAGCUCGCGGCCUAUCAGCUUGUUGGUGGGGUAAUGGCCUACCAAGGCGUCGACGGGUAGCCGGCCUGAGAGGGUGUACGGCCACAUUGGGACUGAGAUACGGCCCAGACUCCUACGGGAGGCAGCAGUGGGGAAUAUUGCACAAUGGGCGCAAGCCUGAUGCAGCGACGCCGCGUGGGGGAUGACGGCCUUCGGGUUGUAAACUCCUUUCGCUAGGGACGAAGCGCAAGUGACGGUACCUGGAGAAGAAGCACCGGCUAACUACGUG
rnacentral:rRNA from 1 species